rnacentral:SRP_RNA from 1 species
GCUGGGCAUGGUGGCGCAUGCCUGUAGUCCCAGCUACUUGGGAGGCUAAGGCUGGAUGAUGGCCUGAGUCCAGGAAUUCUGGGCUGUAGUGCGCUAUGCCAAUCGGGUGUCUGCACUAAGUUUGGCAUCAAUAUGGUGACUUCCCGGGAGUGGGGGACCACCAGGUUGUCUAAGGAGGGGUGAACCGGCCCAGGUCAGAAAUGGAGCAGGUCAAAACUCCCAUGCUGAUCAGUAGUGGGAUUGAGCCUGUGAAUAGCCACUGCACUCUAGCCUGGCAACAUAUCAAGACCCCGUCUCU